AACGAACGUUGGCGGCGUGGAUUAGGCAUGCAAGUCGAACGAGAACCACUGGGCAACUGGUGGGGAAAGUGGCGAAAGGGGCAGUAAUGCAUGGGUAACCUACCCUGGGGAUCGGGAUAGCCAUUCUAACGGAUGGGUAAUACCGAGCGAUGUAGCGAGAUCGCAUGACCUUGCUACGAAAUGAAUUUCGCCUCGGGAGGGGCUCAUGUGAUAUUAGCUUGUUGGCGGGGUAACGGCCCACCAAGGCUGAGAUGUCUAGCGGGUGUGAGA
rnacentral:rRNA from 1 species